rnacentral:rRNA from 1 species
UAGGGAAUCUUCGGCAAUGGGGGGAACCCUGACCGAGCAACGCCGCGUGAGUGAAGAAGGUUUUCGGAUCGUAAAGCUCUGUUGUUAAGGAAGAACGAGUGUGAGAAUGGAAAGUUCAUGCUGUGACGGUACUUAACCAGAAAGGGACGGCUAACUACGUGCCAGCAGCCGCGGUAAUACGUAGGUCCCGAGCGUUGUCCGGAUUUAUUGGGCGUAAAGCGAGCGCAGGCGGUUAGAAAAGUUUGAAGUGAAAGGCAGUGGCUCAACCAUUGUAGGCUUUGGAAACUGUUUAACUUGAGUGCAGAAGGGGAGAGUGGAAUUCCAUGUGUAGCGGUGAAAUGCGUAGAUAUAUGGAGGAACACCGGUGGCGAAAGCGGCUCUCUGGUCUGUAACUGACGCUGAGGCUCGAAAGCGUGGGGAGCGAACAGG